rfam:Loxodonta africana unplaced genomic scaffold scaffold_9, whole genome shotgun sequence.
CCCUCGGUGGUACAAAUGGUUAAUCUGUUUGGCUGCUAACCAAAAGGUUGGAGGUUUGAGUCCACCCACAGGGC